AAACCAUGGUGAAGACACUGUCUUAAUAAAUUCUUAAAUCUGUCUCAUGCUUCAAAUUGUGAUUCUCCAUCUGCUUGAGCAAAGUUUGUGAUGCAAUUUCUCAUAU